CGAAUAUCAUAUGUUUUUUGUUUACAACUUUAUUUCCUGCGACGCGAAUUUAUUGGACUUUAGUCAUACAAAAUGCUGAAUUUAAAACAAUUGGCCAGCCACGCCUACCGCCAAUACGAACUGGUGACGUGCGUCAAUAUGCUUGAGCCCUGGGAGAAGAAGCUGAUCAAUGGAUUCUUUCUGGUUAUGCUGUUCCUGGUGCUCUUCUCCAGCUUUAUGUAUCUGCCAGACUACAUGCAAACCCUGAUGCAGUUCGUCACGCCGCCCAACUGGCGCAAUUCACCGGACAAUGCAGCCUAUGUGGCACAAAAGAUGGCACGGAGCUGAGCUCCACACUACCCAUAUCACGUACAAGUGCAUCCGGUACACGCAUACUCCCUAUAGAAAGACAACUAUGAUUUAAAGCUUAUGAUAUUAUUGUGAUUUACAUCGACUGGUCCAAGAUCUACAGAUAACAAUGCUCUCCACGAUUCGCAGUGCGGAUGUGUUGAAGAACAGGCCAACCAGUCCUCCCAGGGAAACUGAAACGGCGGUCUCGAGUUCAAAACUAAUAGAGAUUAAUACGGAUAGGCUAGCUUACUCAAGAAAUCCAGGAUUGUCUUAGUCACACGACGUACAUAUCGUUGUGUUGGCAGCUCAACCAACGCCACUCGGAUUUCCGACACUUCAUCGGAGCCUUCAUCAUCCCUAGAAGUUAAAAGUUACAUUUUUAAGUGACCCACUUACUUAUUUGACCUCUCAAAUUGCUUAAAUGAAACUUCCGCAAUAUGCU
rnacentral:misc_RNA from 1 species